rnacentral:rRNA from 1 species
GAUUAACGCUGGCGGCGUGCCUAACACAUGCAAGUCGAACGAGGUAGCAAUACCUAGUGGCAGACGGGUGAGUAACGCGUGGUCAACCUACCGUUGAGUGGGGAGUAACUAGCCGAAAGGUUAGCUAAUACCGCAUACGUCUCCGAGGGGCGAUCCCUUGGCGAUAAAAGGAAGCAAUCCGCUCGAUGACGGGACCGCGUCCCAUUAGCUAGAUGGUGGGGUAACGGCCUACCAUGGCACCGAGGGUAGCUGGUUUGAGAGAGCGACCAGCCACACUGGGACUGAGAAACGGCCCAGACUCCUACGGGAGGCAGCAGUGAGGAAUUUUGGGCAAUGGGCGCAAGCCUGACCCAGCAACGCCGCGUGAAGGAUGAAAUUUUUCGGAAUGUAAACUUCGCAAGAACAGGAAGAAUAAGUGUGGGACAAUACCCCACAUGAUGACGGUACUUGUUUGUAAGCUCCGGCUAACUCCGUGCCAGCCGCCG